GACGAACGCUGGCGGCGUGCUUAACACAUGCAAGUCGAACGGAAAGGCCCCUUUGGGGGUACUCGAGUGGCGAACGGGUGAGUAACACGUGAGUAACCUGCCCUUGACUUCGGGAUAACUUCAGGAAACUGGGGCUAAUACCGGAUAGGAAUCCUUGCUGCAUGGUGGGGGUUGGAAAGCUUCGGCGGUUUUGGAUGGACUCGCGGCUUAUCAGCUUGUUGGUGGGGUAGUGGCUUACCAAGGCUUUGACGGGUAGCCGGCCUGAGAGGGCGACCGGCCACGUUGGGACUGAGAUACGGCCCAGACUCCUACGGGAGGCAGCAGUGGGGAAUAUUGCACAAUGGGCGGAAGCCUGAUGCAGCAACGCCGCGUGCGGGAUGACGGCCUUCGGGUUGUAAACCGCUUUCAGCAGGGGCGAAGCUUGUGGUGACGGUACCUGCAGAAGAAGCACCGGCUAACUACGUG
rnacentral:rRNA from 1 species